rnacentral:rRNA from 1 species
GACGAACGCUGGCGGCGUGCUUAACACAUGCAAGUCGAGCGGAAAGGCCCUUUCGGGGGUACUCGAGCGGCGAACGGGUGGAGUAACACGUGAGUAAUCUGCCUUGGCUUUGGGAUAACCACCGGAAACGGUGGCUAAUACCGGAUAUGACGGGCUCCGGCAUCGGGUUCGUGGAAAGUUUUUCGGUCCAGGGAUGUGCUCGCGGCCUAUCAGCUUGUUGGUGGGGUAAUGGCCUACCAAGGCUUCGACGGGUAGCCGGCCUGAGAGGGUGACCGGCCACACUGGGACUGAGACACGGCCCAGACUCCUACGGGAGGCAGCAGUGGGGAAUAUUGGACAAUGGGCGGAAGCCUGAUCCAGCAACGCCGCGUGAGGGAUGACGG